GCUCUACAAAUCUCUAAGGAAGGUCUCUGUGAGACAGUCAAGGGGCAAGAAAUAAUUUCAUCCCUUUGACCUCAGGAUUUAGUGAUAAUGGUUGAUAAUCCCUUUUCUAGGGGGCAACCACAUGGAAUUAGUGAGUGUUUUUCCAUCUUCCUGUAGAAGAUGCUGAGGAUUUCCCUCAGUGGUGGAAUGCACCAUUCUCUGUGAGCUGUGAAUGUUUGUGUUGGGGGCAGUGUUUUUGACUGCACUGGGUCCCGACAUUGGAGAGAUUCCUUUCUCUCAAAGCAGGAUUGAGAUGCAUGUUUCUGCUCUGUACUUAUUCCUGAUCCCUGGAGCAAAGGCUGUACUUAUCUCGGCAGGACAAGAGAAGCAGGGAUAGAAGUAGGCAACAUUCCUUCUCUUCUCCCUUCCCCAGCCUUCCUCCUUUUAGCUAAUGCAGAGCAAAGUGCUGAGUGAGGUUCUCCCUGAGAAAGAGUUGCUGAGUGAUGAGGGAAUGAGCUCCAAAAAGCUUUAAAAGUGGCUUUUUAAUUGUUUUUUAUUGGGGGAUUCAAAUAAUGCCAUCACAAAUCAAAAUACAGCAGACUGGAAGCAAGACAAGGUCGUGGCAUGUGGCAGCUCAAAGACUUGUGCUAAUGACAGAUACAGUUACAAUGCUUGUGAGUUCAUGGACCGUCUCCUUUGGGAAAUGUCAGGCUUUUUGCUUUGUAUUUCAAAUCACAUGCAGAGAUAGUAAUACAAAAAAAAGUCUUGAAAAAAGUUCUUCAGAACUUGCUGCAGUUUAUGGUUAGGUCUCCAAGUAAAGGUGCUGCAACCAUACUGACUUUGGUGGACAAGGAGUGUAGUGAGAAUGACAGAAAUAAGGGAUAAGUGUGUGUCCUUGGGUGAGGCAUUAGCAUUUUGUACUCCUAGCUGAGCAGGCAGUACGUGGAUGUUGCCUAACCUUGAUCCUUUGGAGAGCUUUCUAGCAGGAGUUACUGGGCAUCUCCCAAAGGAAGUGGAGCAGUUCUGAGUGCCUGAGGGCCUCGAACAUCCCUUGAGCUGAGAGAGAGAGGCUGGUUUUUAAGUUUUAUGGGCAAAAUGGGGUGUUGGAAUUGGCUUUAGUUACAUCACAAUUUCUUGAUACUUUUAGUUAAAUAAAACUCAAGAACUGUCUCAGUACUUUUAAUUUUCUUUUUUGUUGUUGUUUAAACUAGGAGUUAUUUCUCUCUGAGGUUCUUUGGAAGUGUGUUAGUUUAAUUGUUUGAAAAGAAACCUUAAUCUUGCACAACACUUUCAGCAAGCAAGCAAGGAGGAUUGGGAAAAGCUGAAGCAGAAGGACUGAUGUUAUUUGCAGAAAAUGCUGAGCUGUGCUCAGCACUUGAAGCUCAGCCUCCGUUGCUACCACGUUUACAAAUGGCCUGGUGGGGCAGGGAGGUCCCACUGCCAACGCCCUGAUUUACUGCCCUGGCUCAGAUCUCCCUGUCCCCAUUGAGGAGAUGUGUUGAACAGGUUAUUUCAGUUCUUUUCUCUCUGCUGUUGUCCCUGGCACAGGUCCCAGAGCAGCACUGUCAGGACCAACUGCUUGGACUGUCUGGAUAGGACCAACAGUGUGCAGACCUUCUUGGGCUUGGAGGUGGGAACCCCAUGGAGCUCCUGCUGGGCACUGGGCUGGGAAAGUAGUGCCACCUUCCUGGGAAGGGCAGUGAACUUCUCGCAGGAAAAUGAAGUGUUAGUGCUGAAGUGCAUGUGUGAUGCAGCCUUUCAAGCACGACCUGGUGAGCGUUUGCUCAGAACGGUUCAUAUAAACCCCAGGUUUGUGGGGUUUUAUGCAUAUAUGCUGAAAAACAGGAUGUGCCUUUUAAGAAAACUAUUUUCACUGGGGGUUUUUUCUUUAUUUGCUUUUGGUUUGGUAUGUUUGGGUUUUUGCUCAUGCUGUCUUUACCUGUUACAGAUGCUAAUAAAACAGCAGGAGGUAUUAGGAUUAGCUGAGAAGCCUCAGUUAGUUGAAUGAAUUUGCACUUUAUGUUAUCCAUGCAUCUGGAGGUAAGGCAGCCACUGCUGCCUGAUCACUUAAUCUCUGAUCAUUCUCUGUGUGUGUGGAAUGUGUCCCUUGGAGUAACAGGACUCGUCCCAGACUUCUGUCUUGUUUGGGCACUGUGUGUGGGGUGUGGCAUUUGGGCCUGUAAGGGACCCUUCAGAGAUGUUUCCUCUGGAGAGGAAAAGCUCUAAUUGUUUUGUGGGCCCUUUCAGCUGACAGCUUUGGAUUGCAUAUGCUGAGUUCAAAGUACUCAUUGUUCAGUGGAAGAAGUUUACUUCAAUAGCAGAUUACUCUUCCUUUUACAGGAAAAGGGAGAUUUGAUCUUUAUUAAUGAGAACAUGUGCUAGAAUAGGAGGGAACUGAGGAGAAGGUACUUGAAAUGGCACAAUAUUAGGGACCUGUAAGGUAUCUGGUGAUCACACUUGAGUCAGUGUGGGAUGUGUGUCAGGAAAAAAGGCUCAGGACUGCAGGAGGUAGACAGAGCCCCUGUGGGGUGUUCCAUGUUCUGUGACAUUGCUUAUAAAUUGCAGAAAAGAAGUAACUGAGGAGUGGAGAUGUUCUCUUGCUGCACAGGCUGCUGCAGGAGCCCUCUGAGAAGAUUGCCAAGUUCUUUCUCAUGGAUGGGGAUGUGGAAGAGAUCAGCAGUGAUGUUGCUCAGUACAUUUCAUUUCAUCUUCCCUUUUUCGAGUUGAUUCUGCACAGAAUAAAUGAAGAGAAGAGGCAGGAGAUUAAACAGGCAAAGUCAAGAUAAACAGACAGAAAAUGAGGUGUCCCAGAGUCCAGGGCGAUCUGCACAACUGUGGUCUGGCUCAUGAGGAGAACAUACAGAUAUGCAGAGUGCAGCUGGGCCUUUCUCCAUCUCUGCCAGCGGACUCUUCUGCAGCUUGGAAGGGCAGCAUGUGCGUCGUGGCUCCAGCUCUGCAGCCGUUCAGCUCCCGCCCUAGAGCCUCGAAGCCACCCCACAGUGAGUAUACCAGCCCCAGAGAGAUUUCCCCUAUGGUCCUUAUGCCAGCUCCAGAGCCACUAGGCCACCCCACAGGGGUUUCACCUUGGGUGACACAGUCCCUUUCUGAGUGUGAGGUUUCCUUGCCGGUCCCACUCACAAUGCCAGCACCACUUUGCAUUUUCCAGCCGCACGCACACUGACUUCUAUCUCCAGCCCCUACUGCGACCCUCGCCCACCCAUGCCACCUCAAAAUUCCCCACUUACCCUCCAAAACUCCCAAAAAAUCCCAAUCUUUCCAAAAUUUGCCCAAAAAUCCCCAA